CACUUUCUGUAGGCUGCAUUUUUUUUCCUUCUGUGUAAAGCAGUGUGAUUCACGGGAUAUGGCUUUGUAGCUCCUGCUUAGUGACCUCUCCUGGUUCCUCACCUCGUGUUCUUCACUGGUCAGAGCCAUUGGUGUUUAGAUGCUCAGCAGAGGUGAUUGCACAGCCUUUGACACCUCACAUCCCCUGCUGCCUAGAUUUGAAAGAGUAAAGCAACUUCUGGAUUGCUUCAAAUGCACUGGCAACAUAAAUAGCAACAGUUUUCCAGAUGAAGAAAUCUAUGUGGGAUAUGUUAAAUGACAUUUCUCUGAGUGCUCUGAUUCAGUGGGUCUCCAGCAUCAGAAAACUGAUCAGAAACUUCAGGACUGAGCUAAUGCCUCCAAAAUUAGUGGGCCUUAUUUUGAGGGUGGCCCUGGUCACAAUGUGUGCCCUGUGAAGACCAGCAGGCUGAGGAGCACUGGGCUGUAGCCCAUGUUUACUUAUCUGAGUUUCAUUGCUUCAGCCAGCCCCAUGACAAAAACAGGUCUGCCAAGCGCUGGCCUGAAUGCCUGGGGAUUUCUGCACUCCAGUUUUAUGGACUCCUGGCUACACACAGGCUGUGACCAAGACUUCCACAGCAGUGCCAUCCAGCGAAGGGACCGCAGUGACUCCCGUCUUAUGUACUCGCCUCCCUGUGUAUAUCCUGGUUGCCACUUCUGUGGUGUUUUGGGCAGCUCACAAUCCCUCCAUAGGGAUGUAUGUCUCCAUAGGGAUGAAUGUCUCACCCCCGUCUUGUGUCACAGAAAAGAAAGUGUGGACUCUGGUGCUUCUGGCAUCUCAGUGUUAAUAUCAUUACUCUGUUAAUUGUAUGGGGCUGACAAUUAGCUGUGUCCCUGUUGCAAACCCAGCAGGAAGGUCCUGAGUCAGGGCUCAAGGGGGUAAAAAGAAACUCAAUGGUUUUCUUCAUUUUAGUCUUAAUCGAAACUGAGUUGAAACUGGACUUGAGGUGGCUGAGUUUGUUUAUUUGUGUUGAAUGUUUCCCUCAGUCUGAGGACUCGCAUGUGCUGGUGACAUCUGGGGUUUUUCGGCUCAGUGGGAGCGAGCCUUACCCUGAAGUCACUCCCUGGAGGGUGACACAGCUUAGUUGUCCUCAGUAGGGACAUCACUGCAUGAACUUGGCAUGCCUGAAUUGGUGGGACUCGUGUUGCAUGCUGUACCUGCCGCUUUUUAAUAUAAACAGAAUAAGAGCAAAGCCCAGGGAUAACUGUUGUUGUAUGUCAGUGUCAGCCAGUACUUAGGCUUUAAGAUCAUGAGGCCUAUGCAGAUCUGAAAUACCAACAAUCAUUUUUGGGGGAGAAGUGGUAACGCUUUAAUAUCUGUUCCUCCAAAUAGCUGGAAUUGAUUACAAGCCUAGCUGAAGGUGGUGUCCUUGUAUUGGACAGUUUACAGUUCAGGCUCUUUCCUUAUUUAUUCCUAUAGAAAGGCAGCUAUGUUUGCUCAUUUCCCCCUUUUCUGAACAUUAAGUAGAAAGGGUUAGAAACUUUUUUAGUGAAAAGUGUAGGCA
rnacentral:lncRNA from 1 species